rnacentral:tRNA from 1 species
AGGAGUUUAGGUUACCCUUAGACCAGAGGCCUUCAAAGCCUCCAGCAAAUAUGAUUUAUUUAACUCCUG